CAAAAUGUUUACUUGAACAGUUUAAGCUUUAAGUAAUGCUAUUAACAAGCUUUUUUAAAAUUAAUACCAACAUCAUUAUCCUGAUCUGUGUGAAAUUAGCUUUAAUCCUGAAGAUUAAAAAAUGAAAAUUGAAAGACAAGAAAAAGUGAUACAAUGUAAUAAUGUUUCAAAAAGGUAUUCCGUUACAACAGGAUCAAAUUUUGCCGCCCACCAAUGGAAUGUAAUUGAAAGGAAAGAAUAAUUGUUCGAUAUUCAAUCAAGGAAAGUGAUAAUUUUAAAGUGACCUUCGUCGAUUGAUAAAAUGGAAAGCAAGUAAAGAAAGUGAUAAAAGAGGUAAUCCAUACUCAACAAAGCAGUUAUUAAUUUCAGAAGGUUUCUUUUCAAUACCUUGGUCUUAAGUCUACAUAUCAUUAAUACGAUUGGGCUGAAACCUAUCAUGGUGAAUGAUGGAUUGUUUCAUGUUAAAAAAUCACGGUUUAACCUUGGAGUACAAGUUGAAAGGAGAGAAAGUUAUUGCCAGAUUAAAAACACUUUAAUCCUUUCUUAAGAUCAAAGAUGAAGAUCGGCAAAUGGAGAUGCAAAAGGUUAACAGUUGGAAAUCGGACAAAACAAAUACUGUCGAGUACCCGGUUAAAGCAAUUUUUUUGAGCCCCAUUUAAAGCAAUUUUCACAGUCGCCAUCUAUGAUUUUUUGAAAAUUUACAUUGUUUUUUUAAUUUAUAGAAUCCUUUCAUUACCUAAAUCUUAAGCGUUGCCACUUUCUGCAAGGCAUUAUCACUAGAUGGAGACUGAGAAAAAAAGAUUGCUUUAACCGGGUACUCGACAGUAUCAAGGAAUGAACAGGAUCAAUUGGAUAAAAGACGGAGCCAACUUGAGUCAAUUGGAAUUGGUUUUGUUUGCUGGUUGCUAAUUGUUAAUUUGGUAUUCCAUAACUGUUGUUUAUAUUGGAUUGCACUUACCUGACAAAGUUUAUCUUUAUCAUGCCAAACAUCUUCAUCAUCUAAAUCACAAUCUGGAGUCUUUCUGUGGCCUUUUGAUUCAGCUUGUUUAGCACGUAAUAAAAUAUCUCGCCGACUAAUCAUCUCAGGUUGCGGGCUGUUAAAAUAAACCAAAAAAGAGAAAAGCAGUUAAAUUAUAGUUUAAGUACUCUAAAUCCAGAUAGAUUAUUAUGCCAAUUAUUUGAAAAUGAUAAGAUUAUUUGACAAUUGAAAAGUCAAAUUGAUUGAAGAUUGAAACAAAUAACUGAUUAUUAUAAAGGUUUGGCAGUUCAGUUGGAUUGGUUGGUUCAACAGUCAACAUUGAAUAGUUGUUUAAAUCAAUUUCAAUCCACAAUUCAAUUGAAAAUCAAUUUAAUUUCAAGGAUUAUUUAACGCCUUUAAAAGGGAGAUUAUCAUCAUCAUCAUCAUCAUCAUUUAAUAAUUGGCAAAGUCUCAAUCUUAAUUGGAUAUUUGAUUAAAUUUGGUCGACUUGAUUAUCAGGAUUAUGGAUUGCGAGGUUUCUGUUAUGGUUAAGGACAAAGUGAUUUACUGAUUUUAAUCAUCGUGACUUGAAUUAUCAAUAAACUUCCGUGAAGAGUUGAUGGUUGAAGCCUUUUAAAUGAUCCAAUGGUUUUAUCAAAUUUUGCUUGCGACCGAUGAUUAUUAUGUUGAAUAUGGGCUUUUGGUUUACCCUCAGGAUUCAUUGUAACCCCACGUAAAGCACUUGGA